CCCGAUGAUGAUGGUUAAAAGCGCUUAUCGGUGACGAGCCUCUACCUGCUGAGG
rnacentral:snoRNA from 1 species